rfam:Oreochromis niloticus linkage group LG17, whole genome shotgun sequence.
CCAACGGCUCUUUUCAGAGCCACCCACCUCUGCUGAGGAGCACAU